UGCGUGAUGUUGGAGAUCAGAAGAGAAUGAAGCAUUUGUGACUCAACGUGACAUUCAAGGACACUUGGGAAUACGAAAGCUUAUAUAAGAUAUGCAAACACAUGACGAAUGGGGUUAGCAUACCGAAUUCACUAAUUUAAUUACAUCCAUCUCAAAUAUUAACUAACCAUUAAAUCGACCUUUCAUAGCAAAUAUAAACAGACACGCUUUAAUCCAGCGAAGGGUACAAAACCAAGAAUACCAAUUAAAAUAACCGGAGUCUGAUCUCAAACAACGGCAACGAUGUUUCUCAGCACGUUCUUACUCUUCCAAAUCCUCUUUUAAGCUGUUUGC